GCUUGCUUGCUGAUGGUUCCAUUACCUCUUCCCCAUCCGCCUUCACAGAAAAAGACAGAAUGUAGGCCUUUGCGGAGAAGGUGAGCAAGCAAGAGUUGAACAGAUACUUGUCCUGGAUGUUAAAGUGGAAAUUCAAGCAAUACAACAGAAGGACAGAAGCAAGAAAGCAAAGAGCCCUAGAAACUGCUAGCAGCUGUCUUGUGAUAAGAGAGGCCAGCAUUAGACUAAAGCAGACAUAGU